rnacentral:lncRNA from 1 species
CAAAAUCAAAUUAAGUUUCCUCUGUCUGGAGCUUGACAAUCCACUGUUUCCAGGGAAAAGCAAGGACUCCAUCAGCAAUCCCCUCCAGGAGGAAUUAUUGAGCAGCUACUACGUGACACAGAGCACGAGUCCCCCAUGACAGAGCCCAAACACUUUUUGAGGACUUUGGGGAAAGCAGGAAGGCCGGACAGCAGUACCUACAGGGGCCAAUGGAUCCAAGGAGAAGGCCCAGCGAAAGGAAGGACCCAGCAGCUCCCCCUUGCCAGCGCUGGAGACCCUGGCUCUGGGGCCCAGUCCCAGCCCUAGUCCAGCAGCGACGGACAGUGCAUCAGUCAAGGGCACUGCUCACCUCCCUCCGGACCCAACCGCCAUGAAGGCCAAAGCCGAGCCCCCAUGCAGGCCAGCUCACGUCCCAUUCUGCCAUGUCUCGGGCUGGAGCGAAUUGUAUUGAUAGAAAAUAAAAUGUCGACAUAAAAAAGAAU